rnacentral:rRNA from 1 species
AUUGAACGCUGGCGGCAUGCCUUACACAUGCAAGUCGAACGGUAACGCGGGGCAACCUGGCGACGAGUGGCGAACGGGUGAGUAAUGCAUCGGAACGUGCCCGGUAGUGGGGGAUAGCCCGGCGAAAGCCGGAUUAAUACCGCAUACGACCUACGGGAGAAAGGGGGGGAUCGCAAGACCUCUCGCUAUUGGAGCGGCCGAUGUCAGAUUAGGUAGUUGGUGGGGUAAAGGCCUACCAAGCCGACGAUCUGUAGCUGGUCUGAGAGGACGACCAGCCACACUGGGACUGAGACACGGCCCAGACUCCUACGGGAGGCAGCAGUGGGGAAUUUUGGACAAUGGGCGCAAGCCUGAUCCAGCCAUGCCGCGUGCGGGAAGAAGGCCUUCGGGUUGUAAACCGCUUUUGUCAGGGAAGAAAUCUUCUGAGUUAAUACCUCGGGAGGAUGACGGUACCUGAAGAAUAAGCACCGGCUAACUACGUGCCAGCCGCCGCGGUAACAC